CCCUUAGAUGUUCUGGGCUGCACGCGCGCAACACUGAAGCUAUCAACACGUUUUCCCUCCCUGAGAAGGGCGGGUAACCUUUUGAAUCAGCUUCGUGGUAGGGAUCGGGGCUUGCAAUUGUUCCCCGUGAACCAGGAAUUCCUAGUAGACGCGAGUCAUAAGCUCGCAUCGAUUAAGUCCCUGCCCUUUGUACACACCGCCCGUCGCUACUACCGAUUGAACGUUUUAGUGAGGCAUUUGGACCGACGCAUCUCAGUUUAACCGCUGGUUUGUGUUGGAAAGACUUCCAAACUUGAGCGUUUAGAGGAAGUAAAAGUCGUAACA
rnacentral:rRNA from 1 species